UACGGAACCCCCCCCAAAGCCGAGCGGCCCCCCCCGGCCCCCCGCAGUAGCGGCUUGCCGGAGCCCGCCCGCCGACACCUCGCCGCGGCCCGGAGUCUGGACCAGCUGCUUUGAAGAGAGCUUUCGAAUGAAUGACUAGGGUGUGAAUUUCUAAGACUGUUGAUGGGAACAGAAGAAGGAACAGAUGGUGGCACCAUCCUGUCUCGGCACCAAAUACUGCCCUGGAGUUCUACAUGGUGCAGAAAGCAUCCCCGUGUGGAGAAGCAGAUAGUGCUUCUGCAAAGUAUCAGCAUGGUGGAUUUUAUGGUGGAUUUCUACAGCUGAGGGACAACUGUCUGUGAAUUUUCAGGUUCACCUCCGACGGUCUCCAUCUCACAGGGCCCUGUUAGAAAGCAGCGAGCAGCAAGAGGAAUCGGGCUGCAUAAGCACCUGCCAGGCCCUAAACUCAGGAAAUCCAGGACCAGACUUCUUUUCAGUCUGAAAUACUCUGAUUGGGCUCUCAGACACUCAGUGGAGUGAAAGCAAACAUUAUGAAAAUGUGCAGGUGGUAAAACACUGGCUGCCAUGAACUUCAUGUUAAAAAAAAGAAGAAAAAGCUGUGGUUUGGAGCCUGCUAGAGCUGCUAGAUAGCAAACUGCAAGCUUGUAACGUUGUGACUGCUGAAAUCACUACAAGGAUAAUAGGGCAUGCAUGCAUUUGUGGAUAAUUCUGUUUGCUAAUUGCUCAUGAAAUUUCAGUUUGAAAGUGAAAAAGGGAAUCUUCCAGGUGGCUGCAUCUUGAAAACCAGGUGCUGCUGUGAUUCCUUCCUGCCUGAACUUGCCACACUACUCGAAGGGACUGGCCAGGAUUUAACUCCAGUCUUCCUGGUCCAUUAUGCAGCAGCCCUCUGUGUAUGAGAAGUACAACUACCAAACAAAAAUGCCAAAAAGGAAAAAAAAAAAAAAAAAAAACAAGGAUGGCCUGAUCUACCCCAGAACAACGAAUGGACAUUAAAACCGAGCUCAGGAUACCUCAACCUUGUAAAACUUCUUUCUUGGAUCUUCUGAAGAAGAAAUUCCUCUCGGCUCUCCUCAGUCUGAAAUACGCUUCGCUGGCUCAGGUUGUGGAUAGGAUUCCGAUGAGAUGGUCUAGUAAAGUCAGGCUGUCCAGUGGGGCCUGCUGGGGAGCGGAUAAAACUGCAUUUGUCCCAGACCUUUCCACAAGCAUUUACUGCACCUCUUCAGUGUCUCAUUUGGGCACGAUGCUGGCUGGGUGUUCAGCAAGUGGCUGGCGACACCGGUAUGACUGGAAGAUGUUUGUUCAUUCUUUCUUACAUCUGCCAGCAACGCCCCACUGCCACCAAGGGGGCAGAUUCAGCUUCUAGAGACGUGCCUUUCCCUGGGAGCUGCAAGGGUACACGGACGGGUGGCUAACUUCCUCCUGAGUCCAGAAUGAAUUAAUGUAAUGGUCAGCCAGGUGAGAUGGGCACCACGAAAUAACCCCGUUCCGUGAGUAGCAUAGGCCUGACAGAAAUAGGUGGGAGAGCAACUGGCCUCCAGCUCUCUCACCAUCUUCCAGCACUUGCAAAAAAAAAAAAAUAAAAAGCAAGGCAAAGAUGGGCAAAGAUGAUAGUUUAUGUGCAGCUCAGGAAACUCUCGGAAAUGAAUGUGUCUGUGAUUUAAUAACACAUCUACACAAAACGACACUUCUCCUAAUAUUCACCCAGAGAAAGAAGGCAGAGCAGUGUGGGGCCAUAACCAGCACACAAUGCACUACUACUGCAACAACGAACAGCUAAACUACCAGGUAUUUAUUUUUCAGUAUGCACAAUUGUUGGAGGAGAAUGAAAAUUAUUCUUUGACACUGACGGAGACAUAGAAAGCCCUGUGCUUCCCCUAGCUCCUGUGGUCCUGACAAGAAACAACUCACAAAUUCUAAUAAAUAGAAAAUAGAAAUAAAUACUCUAACUAUAUGGCAUAGGGUUUUGAAUGGCUUUCUGAAUCAGAAAGUGCUGCUCGUACGUCUUCGUUAUUUCUACACUCUGUAAUGCUGGCUCUCCAAAAGUCAGAGACAAAGUGAGAUAGAUACUACAAGGAUCACAGACACUACACUGGGAAACCAAGUAUCAAUGGUACGUCCAGAUUUAUGGUAGGUGAUGGCAGUAAAGUGAAAGCAAAACUGUUUGCACAGUCUGUAUUGUUGCCCAUUACUGUGUAUUUGCCCUUUUUUCUUGCUUAGCUACAGCUGAAAGAAUGGAAAAUUGUACCUUAUAUACAGUAUUAGGAGACACGUUUUGAUCGUAAGGUCAAUCAGACUAGUUUACCCGCUUGAGGUCUUUAUGGCACAAUCACUCAGUGUCUUUAAGGAAAGGUUAGAUACAUUUAUGGGAAAGGUAUUUUGCAGAAGCCUUCCUGUUUCAUAGAGGUCUUGGACAAAAUGACCCAGGAGGCCCCUUCCAAGUCUAUCAAAUGUGGUUCCUUGAUUGAUGCUGUUUCCCCCCCAAGUCUUUUCAAAACACAAAGCACUGUUAUAAAAUUUAAUAUGAUACACUAUAUAACUUUAACACAAUGCCAUUUCCUUAUAGGAAAUGGUUAGCUGGUAGCACAGGAGCCUUGCGCAAAAGGAAGAAAAUAAGAAAAAAGAAAUUGUAGUGCAGUUUCUCUGCCAAGGGAUAUUGACUAUAACAUUUACGCUGUUUCUCGGUAUGGACCCUCAUCUGUGCAGAGGGACACCAAGUCAUGGAGGCAUAUAAGUACCCCAGACUGUAGUAUAUAUUUUUCCAGAAAAACCUAGCAAGGCCUGAGGUAAUUUUCUAUGCUGUGCAGUAAGCAUUCCCUCAAAGCUGGAAAGCAAAAGGACACCCAGAUCUCCUUAUACAUAACUGCCUGGUGCUGUAAUCUGCUGGGAAUAACGUAGAGCUGCCUGGAGGCAAGAAACGGGAGUGUCCAGCGCCCCUCUGCACGCCCCCGGGGCCAUAACACAGGCAUCCCCUCCACCUGUGCUCCCAAACCCUUCCCUGGUUACAAACGGCAAGAAUGAAAACGACGCAAAAAUGAGAAGAGGCUCAGAAAAGCCUGUUCUGUAAUUAAUCACCCUCUCUAAGAUGGCUUUGUCCCAGCCUGCUACCAUUCGUGCAGCCAUCAUGCAGCAGUUGGAGCAAACCCCCUGCCAGCUCCACACCCAAAAAGCUGCACUUCUAAAUCCCUCUGACGAGAGCAGCAAAAUCCCCAGGUAACGUGUUUGUCCAUGGACUAAAGACUGUAGCCACAUUUUCCCUUACCUGAAUACACGGUGCUGCUUCAGAGGAAGAUCUGCUUCUUUAAGGAGUGGCCAGCAUGCGUCACAGCAUUGAGGCUUUCUUGAGGCUGGUGGUCCAGCAAGCCGGCAGCGGUUAGCAGAGAAGCAUUCAGUGAGGACGAGUGGUGUGUGUGGUUUGUUCUUCAGACAGAAUGCUCUCCGGGUCUCAUUGACCCUUUUUCUUUCGAUGUGUUAACGUAUUUAAAAGUUUGAGUCAACUGAAUGAAAUUUCUAAAAAACAACCAACCAGCCUCUCUGGGACAUUCGGUUGAAAUGCUGUGGUUGGCCUCCUCUGCGCUGUAGUAAGUCUUAGUUUUAGGUUCUCGCAGGGAAAAAAAAAUUUAAAAUACCCAGAACUUUAUUGAAUUUGGGUUUACUCUCAAAAACAUUUUACACUAACCUUUUUAUUUUCACUCCAGCUGAUUCAUUUAAAGGCCAAACUUCUCUUCAAAAAACAGGCCCCUGCUCCCGUCUUCUUGGGACAGCUCUGCCAGGAAAUAACAGCAUCCAUCCAUACGCACACACUCCAGAGGCUUCUGAAGUCUCACAAAGGUGAGCUGCUCCCCCUUGCAGGGCAAGCUGGGAUUAGCUCUUUUAUUAACCUUCUAACCUCAUCCCCAAGAAAGAAAAAUAGCCUAACCUUUUUUUUUAUUUAUUUUUUUUAUUUGGAAGCUUGCAGCCUCCUUUACCCAAACAUUUGUGAGCUCAAACACCCUACAGACGGGAGCAAAAUGAGGACUGUUGGUGGUGCUUUCCAGGAGGAGCUCCCUGAAGGCCCUUUUGGACCCUCCCAUUACAUUGUACUCCAUGUCAGUGGCUAUCCCUAAAAGCUUGUGUUUUCACUUUACAAUACUUUCCCAUUACCAUGAGUCUUGGGUCUCUCCAUUUGAAUCAUAUUUUGGGGAGAAAAUAAUAACCAUUUACUCCUUUUCAACAUCUUGCAUCAAUGUAUUUUCCCGAUUCCUACGUCAAAGAAAUGACUUUUAGCAAAACGAAAAAUUUGACCUGGCUUCAGUCCUGACAGCACUGCAAUUUCUCAUCCUUGGCUCUCACUUCAUCCCUGCGUCACAGUGCGGAGUAAGACACUCGUGUCAGGAUAGCUUUUCUCACUGGAGUCACAAUGGUAAAAAUGAGCCUCAGCGAGUGACACGAGCAGAAAUUUCAAAGGCAGCAAAAUUUAUCUCCUGCUCUUUGUCUUACAGUAUGGUGCAUUUUAGUGGUUGGAAGAUUUAGCUUCCAAGCAUCCCAUAUAUAUAAAUCCCAGUGGACAACAGCUCGCCAGCUUCUUUUUUAGGGCGGUUGAGCUCAACAGCUAGAAUCUGCCAGGGAACGAGGGUUGAGAGAAGGAUGGAGAAAACCUUUCCUGUAGCCUUCAGGUGUUGGUCAAGGGCCAGGAUGAGGAAACAGCCAAAGCAAAACAAAACUCUCUCAGCUACAUCUCCUCGGGUAUGUGGCAUAAGGACCAUGAUCUGGGGCCAGCCCUGCCGCUCCUCUGCUGUAGCUUAAACCAUUAACUGCUUUGCUGAUACGGUCCCUCUUGGGGGUUUCUCCUUCUGAAAGAUUUAUACUUGGCUUAAAUCUAAUACGAAUACUCCACUUUAGCUUUUAGGAGGCCAAGACCCUUAAAAGUCUCGGAUGGGCAGGACAAGCGAGGAAGGCAAAAUCUCUCUCCUCAGGUCCCUUGCGAAAGUGCUCAAACACCGCUCUGCUGAGAGCUCCCCAGCUGCUGCGCUGGGUAAAGGGAUGCCUCUCAGCUCUGACGUGCAGGGAUGCCCUUCACACUAACAGGCAGGGGGAAAAAGGCAGUGGGAAGAGCAAAAGGCACCUGAAUAAAAAGGCAGGCCAUGAUGGAUCCAGCUGAAUUUUAUGGCCUUCUCUGAUCUCCGGACAUGGGAAAACCCAUUCAGCAUCUUGGAUCUCCAGCCUGGGCUGUGUGCGGCCUUAACUGUGCCACAAAGGAGAGAUGGUUUGCUCUUGUUGCCUCCUCCAAAGAAAGCUGUUACUAUGAAUUCUUUGAGGCCCAGGAACUCCAUUUCCCAGCUUUCAGUUAAUACUGCAAUGAUUAUACAUAAAUAAUAGUAACAAUAAUCAUAAUAAUACCUGGCUUGCCAUUAUGUUGUACUCAGUCUUUGCGAUGCCCCUCUCACGAUAAAAAUCUGUGUACUAAACACUUUAAUUGAAACUCUUAAUCAAACAGAGAUAUUUCCUCUUGUGCAGUUAUAGUCACAUAAUGAUCACAGAGCACCUUACAGAAUCAAAUAAAAGUAGCCAGCCUGAUCCUUGCAUAGAAGGAAACACCAUUAUUGGGCGUCUUAGUAGUAUAUAACAAUGCUGUCACAUAGACAAUUAAUUGUCAAACAUACCUUAUUUUAGGAUUUAUGCUGGCCAAAUAGCAUCCAGAACACUUGGGUUUUAUCCUUAAGCUUGUUCUAAAAACCUCUCAUGCCAUCACAAGAGGGGACUGGACGGUCUUGCCUGAUAGACAGGAAGAGCAGCCCGCAGACAGGAGGGCUAGUGAGCAGUCGUGCCUCAUUAUCAAGAGCCCUGGUUCAGAAGGAAAAAAGAAAAAAGGUUAUAAUUUUCCUGAUUCAGAAAAAAAGCCACGGAAGUCUUGAUGUGCCAUAGUGCUGAGUACUGAGCAGCCUCCAUAGGGUCACUGAGAGAGGACAAGGCAAAACCCAGCAGUACGAACGCUAACGCUAAAUGAUGCCUCCCGAGGUCUGGAAGGGGUCUCCAGCUUUGGACCUUCUAAUAGGUAGUUCUGGAGCUACGAGACGACAAAGAGCUUUGUUCCCUCUUGUAUAAUUGAUAAAUUACCAUUGUUAGUACUAAACAAUGCUACCGAGCAAGAAUGGAAACACGCUAAUGCUUUAUCCAUCUUAAGCAAUUCUGCUCAUGUGCUCAUACUGUUCUUAAAUGUGCUAGAUAUUUGUUUGACGAAACAAUAAGUUUUAGAAAAGAGAAAAAUAAGAACUUUAAAGAUAAUCAAAACCUUGACUACAUACUUUACCACAGGCAGCUGUGAAUAAGCUUCAAUACUCUUUAUUUUUAACAUUCCAGAUAUGUAAUUUAAUGCAGGUCUAAUGACAGUCUCGAACAUACUGCUUUAAUCGAAAUUGUUCAAGCUCUGUUCUGUGACAAGGGCUCACAAGCUACCAGCAGGGUUGUCCAUUUUCCCCACUUCUGUAAGGAAAAGAAAAGGGAGGGGAGGGGGACAUUCUUGAACUUAUGUUGCUAUUGAUGUGUAAUAUACAAUAAAAAAAUAGUUAAAUUUCAAUUA